GACGAACGCUGGCGGCGUGCUUAACACAUGCAAGUCGAACGGAAAGGCCCUGCUUUUGUGGGGUGCUCGAGUGGCGAACGGGUGAGUAACACGUGAGUAACCUGCCCUUGACUUUGGGAUAACUUCAGGAAACUGGGGCUAAUACCGGAUAGGAGCACCUGCUGCAUGGUGGGGGUUGGAAAGUUUCGGCGGUUGGGGAUGGACUCGCGGCUUAUCAGCUUGUUGGUGGGGUAGUGGCUUACCAAGGCUUUGACGGGUAGCCGGCCUGAGAGGGUGACCGGCCACAUUGGGACUGAGAUACGGCCCAGACUCCUACGGGAGGCAGCAGUGGGGAAUAUUGCACAAUGGGCGGAAGCCUGAUGCAGCAACGCCGCGUGCGGGAUGACGGCCUUCGGGUUGUAAACCGCUUUCGCCUGUGACGAAGCGUGAGUGACGGUAAUGGGUAAAGAAGCACCGGCUAACUACGU
rnacentral:rRNA from 1 species